ACAGCAGCAGCCGCGGGAAUACGGAGGGGGCUAGCGUUGUUCGGAAUUACUGGGCGUAAAGCGCACGUAGGCGGCUUGGUAAGUUAGAGGUGAAAGCCCGGAGCUCAACUCCGGAAUUGCCUCUAAGACUGCCGAGCUAGCAGGUGAGAGAGGUAAGUGGAAUUCCGAGUGUAGAGGUGAAAUUCGUAGAUAUUCGGAAGAACACCAGUGGCGAAGGCGGCUUACUGGCUCAUACUGGACGCUGAGGUGCGAAAGCGUGGGGAGCAAACAGGAUUAGAUACCCCCGUAGUCCCUGUCUCUUAUAC
rnacentral:rRNA from 1 species